rnacentral:rRNA from 1 species
CCCUUAGAUGUUCUGGGCCGCACGCGCGCUACACUGACUACUUCAACGAGUUGUUUCCUUGAUCGAAAGGUCUGGGUAAUCUUUGAAAGGUAGUCGUGAUGGGGAUAGAUCCUUGCAAUUUUUGAUCUUCAACGAGGAAUUCCUAGUAAACGCAAGUCAUCAGCUUGCAUUGAUUACGUCCCUGCCCUUUGUACACACCGCCCGUCGCACCUACCGAUUGAAUGGUCCGGUGAAAUCUCGGGACGGCGGCUUGGUCGCUUGCGUCCGACUGCUGAAACUUGAUUAAACCAUNUNAUUUAUNGGAAGGUGAANUCGUANCA